GUAGGUAUAGCUCAGUGGUGGAGUGCAUGCUUAGCCGAGGUCCUGGGUUCAAUCCCCAGUACCUCCA
rnacentral:tRNA from 1 species